GAAUCCCACAGGCCGUAAACCCAAGGUUUCCAGGGGAAGGUUCGUCCGCCCUGGGUUAGUCGGGACCUAAGCUGAGGCCGAAAGGCGUAGGUGAUGGACAACAGGUUGAUAUUCCUGUACUACCGAUAACCGUUUGAGAGAAGGGAUGACACAGUAGGAUAAGCUAAGCACACUGUUGGUUAUGUGUGCCCAAGCAUUGAGGCAGUCAAAGUAGGCAAAUCCGCUUUGAUAAUGCUGGGAUGUGAUGGGGAGCGAAAUUUAGUAGCGAAGUAGCUGAUUUCACACUGUCAAGAAAAGUCUCUAUCGAGGUUAAAGGUACCCGUACCGCAAACCGACACAGGUGGGUGAGGAGAGUAUCCUAAGGCCAGCGAGAGAACUGUUGUUAAGGAACUCGGCAAAAUGACCCCGUAACUUAGGGAUAAGGGGUGCCACCAUCAGGUGGCCGCAGAGAAUAGGCCCAAGCGACUGUUUACCAAAAACAUAGGUUUCUGCUAAGUCGCAAGACGAUGUAUAGGAGCUGACGCCUGCCCGGUGCUGGAAGGUUAAGGGGAUCUGUUAGAGCAAUCGAAGCAGUGAACUUAAGCCCCAGUAAACGGCGGCCGUAACUAUAACGGUCCUAAGGUAGCGAAAUUCCUUGUCGGGUAAGUUCCGACCCGCACGAAAGGCGUAACGAUUUGGGCACUGUCUCAACAACAGACUCGGUGAAAUUGUAAUUCCGGUGAAGAUGCCGGAUACCUGCGACAGGACGGAAAGACCCCAUGGAGCUUUACUGUAGCUUGACAUUGGGUCUUGGUACUACAUGUACAGGAUAGGUGGGAGGCUUUGAAACCAGGACGCCAGUUUUGGCGGAGCCAUCCUUGGGAUACCACCCUUGUAGUACUGGGACUCUAACCAUAGGCCAUGAAUCUGGUCUUGGGACACUGUCAGGUGGGCAGUUUGACUGGGGCGGUCGCCUCCCAAAAGGUAACGGAGGCGCUCAAAGGUUCUCUCAGUACGG
rnacentral:rRNA from 1 species